rnacentral:rRNA from 1 species
GAUGAACGCUGGCGGCGUGCCUAAUACAUGCAAGUCGAGCGAACAGACGAGGAGCUUGCUCCUCUGACGUUAGCGGCGGACGGGUGAGUAACACGUGGAUAACCUACCUAUAAGACUGGGAUAACUUCGGGAAACCGGAGCUAAUACCGGAUAAUAUAUUGAACCGCAUGGUUCAAUAGUGAAAGACGGUUUUGCUGUCACUUAUAGAUGGAUCCGCGCCGCAUUAGCUAGUUGGUAAGGUAACGGCUUACCAAGGCGACGAUGCGUAGCCGACCUGAGAGGGUGAUCGGCUACACGAAAACUGAGACACGGUCCAGACUACUACGGGAGGCAGCAGUAGGAAAUCUUCCGCAAUGGGCGAAAGCCUAACGGAGCAACGCCGCGUGAGAGAUGAAAGUCUUCGGAUCGUAAAACUCUGUUAUUAGGGAAGAAAAAAUGUGAAAGUAACUAUGCACGUCUUGACGGUACCUAAUCAGAAAACCACGGCUAACUACGUG